GAUGAACGCUGGCGGCGUGCCUAAUACAUGCAAGUCGAGCGAACAGACGAGGAGCUUGCUCCUCUGACGUUUGCGGCGGACGGGUGAGUAACACGUGGAUAACCUACCUAUAAGACUGGGAUAACUUCGGGAAACCGGAGCUAAUACCGGAUAAUAUAUUGAACCGCAUGGUUCAAUAGUGAAAGACGGUUUUGCUGUCACUUAUAGAUGGAUCCGCGCCGCAUUAGCUAGUUGGUAAGGUAACGGCUUACCAAGGCAACGAUGCGUAGCCGACCUGAGAGGGUGAUCGGCCACACUGGAACUGAGACACGGUCCAGACUCCUACGGGAGGCAGCAGUAGGGAAUCUUCCGCAAUGGGCGAAAGCUUGACGGAGCAACGCCGCGUGAGUGAUGAAGGUCUUCGGAUCGUAAAACUCUGUUAUUAGGGAAGAACAAAUGUGUAAGUAACUAUGCACGUCUUGACGGUACCUAAUCAGAAAGCCACGGCUAACUACGUG
rnacentral:rRNA from 1 species